GUGGUUUUUUGAGGCGCAUACUGGCAAAGACAGUAAGUUGAUGGUUUUCCUCUUUAUUUUAAAGAGUUUUGUAACAUCCAUGGAACACACUGAAAAUCUCAUUAGUCCCUUUUUAUGACAUUCAAAAGUAAACAAGACCAUCAGGAAGACCAAUGAUGAUUUUUAUAUCAGUUUUUGAUGCCUAACACUAGUGUUAGGGGAUAGGUGUUAGCUGAGCAGCUAAAGACACAUCCCUGUAUUCACAAUUAAUGAAACAUUUGACUGUCAAAAGCCAGCAAGAUUAAAUCUUUGACCAGAAAACACAGUUGAAGCAUAUACAGGCCAAGAAAGUCAAUGACUGAUUCAUCCCCAGGUGUGCCAAGUCAGAGAUCAGAAGUUUCUCACAGGAGCUUUAAGAUACAUUUGUUGCAACCUUUGUCCCAUAAAAACUUUCUGUUUUUAUUUUUUUUGUGACAGAUGUUUUAGCAAUGCACCAAGGUAUCAGGCUAAUCCACUUAAAACAUCUUUUUUAAUCCAUUUAUUUCAGGGUUUAAAAAAUAUAUGGUGUGUGGCUUGGUGGCUGUCUGGCAUGAGUCUGGUCCUACCCAAGGUUUCUGCCUGUUAGAAGGAAGGUUUUCCUUGCCACUGUUACUCAUGUUAGAUGAGACGGGCCAAAUCCCAUCUUGGGUUGGGUCUUGAUAAUUCAUCAAACAAUGAGCGUGGUCUAGACCUCUUCUCUUGUUCUUUGAAAAGCGUCUUGGGAUGACGACUGUUGUGAAUUGGCGCUAUAUGAAUAACAUUUGAUUUGAUUUGAUUUGAUUUGAUAUACAAUACAUGGCAGCCAGAUGUUAUUCUUGGAGCUGUGUGAUACAACCAGCACAUAAAUGCAUGGCACGUUUUAUAUUUUCAGGGCACCUACCUACUUGGCUCUUAAUGUGAGCAAUGUAAAUUUAAAGAAAACGAAGAUAUAGUUUCAUACAUCCUGUCAAAACAAACCAAAAUUGCAAAUGAAAAACUUUUUAUGAAUAUCAGGAUCAGUCAUGUCAAGCUCUUCAGAUUUUUCUUCAGUCUGGUCUGAUCAGGCAGCGAGACGAAAACAUUAACUGUAUACAGUUGUGCAACACUUGUGGAGACAUCAAAUCAGUAAAACAGUGAGGACUGAUGACUAAGCAAGCUCCACAAGCUAAAAAAGAGAACAAGAGGGUGACAAUAUAAUAUUUCAGCAAGCAUUAUUUUACUGCAUAAACAGCACAUCAAGUUUGCAAGCAGCAUUUUGAAAUAAUGUGAUAAAUCAAGAAUUUAAAUUCAAUAUCUUGCCAGCCCUUUCCUCUGCACAGAGAGAGAUGAAGAGAGACAGAGAGAGAAAGACACACGUUAAAAGAGAGAGAGAGAGUGAUGCCGCGGAAGCAUGUGAAACAACAGCCGGCAAAGAGAAUAGGAGCAGACACAUUAUGAUGACUCAGAGUUACAGUGCAGACAUUCAGGUUCACACCUCUGGGAUUUCAGCAGUGGGUGUUCCCCAGAAAAGACAUACUAGUGCAGAGGAAGAUGUGAGUAGGCUGUAAAAAGAACAGAGAAAGGCUGCUUUUACUAUCACAUAAAGAAUAUGUCAGGCAGGCUGUAUGGGUGUGCCAUUAGGUUUAGACCAGGCAAAUUCAUCUUAAAUGUUAGUGUUUAAUUCAUGCAAAGGUGCUCACAUCUGUUUCCCUGUAAAACUGCACUGUAAUGAAGUUGUUUGUUGAAGCAUUUUGUCUGUUUUUUUGUCUGAGAUCAAAAAGAGAACUAGGCUCCACACAGAAACAAAUCUGCACUUUGAAUCUAUCAUGCAAUUACAAAUUGAAUGUUUGCUUUGAAGCAGAAAGAAAAGACCAGGAUAUGACAGAUGUCCGUCACCCCCCCUUGAGUAUACCUAAACUGCAUUCAUAAUGUGAGAUACUGGCAACCACUGCAUGCAGUGCAUGGCAGCCUGCACUGAGAGAAAUGUAUUAACAUACCAAAGGCAGGUCCCAUAGUGAGACAAAUAAUGCUAAUUAUCUGCAGGAAUAUAGAAGUAAUCAAUGCCAAUCUGGCUGGUUAUGCUUGCAGGCAUGUGCACACACAAGCAAAAAUACGCAGACCUGUACUCAGAUGUUCAAUGCAUGCAUUAUACAUGUGCCUGUUAGAGUGCAACAGCCUUUUUUUGUUUUUACUGAUCUCAAAGGUCAUUGUACAGCUGUCUGUAUUAUUUUCCCUGGCAUUACAGAUAUAUUGACCUGGCCUGCAGGUAAAGGGCAUGAUCAGUACAGUGAUCCAAUGAGAAAAAAGAAAGCAACAGGAGUAUCGCUGGUAAGAUGUGCACAGUGAAUAAACAAGAUCAGUGUCUACAGUAGGAGAGCUCAGUAACUUACAAAGAUCUCUAUUUAUAUGUAGCACAGUCUGCUCCAUAACACCCCCUCAGUAAUCCCAGGUUCCAAGUUGUUUGAUUUUUAUGUGCUGCUUUUGAUUUAGAGGUUUUGUAUUCAUGUCAUGCUACAUAAUAUAAAUGGACCACACAUACACAAAACUUUUCCAUGUCUGGACCACUUUUGCUUUAUAUGUCACUCCUGUCCUUUCCAAUACAAUUAAAUAGCUUUAAAGGCUGUGUGUUUGAUCUGAGAGAUGGAGAAGUUCAGAUGCUAUCCCCACUUUACUGUGUCGUAUUUGAAGUGAUCUUGCUCCUUUCAUUUAUUUCCUGACUUAACCUCUGACUGCACUGUUAAUGCUAGAAAAUCAGGAGAUGACCCUCUUGAUUAACUUCACAUCACUACCAGCUUUAAUUGGUUCAAAGACUUUUUGGUUUAUCUUUAGAAAAAAAUAUGUAAGCCAAGUAGAGUUUCCUGCUCCAAACAAAGGAGCUGCUCAUAAUUAAUGCCUUAAUAAGAACCUCCUGGCCUCUUGGCACUGUACUAUUUUCAAUGGCAAGAAGUUAAGACUGGAUUUUAAACCUGGACUGAGCUUAUCAAAGAGCAGUGCAAUGCUGGAGCUACGGGUCAUCCAGAGGAUAAACCACAUAAGGAUGUGUAGACCUUAGUCCAGUGAAGGGGAAGUAGUAAGCCAGGAUGUCAAAAAGAUAUUUCAGUGUCUUCACACUCACAGCUUAACAACUGUCUUGGCAGGGUGACCAUCAGUGGGCAAGAUAAUUUUGUGAGUUGUAUUGAUUUCAAUAGCAAAACAUUGCCCAUCAGAGCAGUGAUAAAAUAAUAGUUUUGUUCUUAGGUAAUUAACCUCUGAAUAAAGCCCACAAAAGACCAUCAUACCCUCAGCGUCAUGUUUUAAUUACAAGACUGCAACUAGCAACAGGAUUAAUUAGCUAAAUAUGUUGACAGUCAAUGAAGACACAGCUCUGCAGUGGAGAUCAUGAAUAAUACAUCAGCUGUUAAUUAAUAUCUCACUCUUUCUCUCACUGUUGUUUCUCUCUGUUAAAGUUCAACCAAACAACAUUACUCAAGUUUCUGUCACUGAGAAGUGUUAAAUGCAAUUAAAUUAUUUUAGUCCAUCUAUUGGCGUACUGGUGUCUAAAAAGCUAAUAUAACCAUAACUCAAAGGAGUUAUUUCCCAUGGUAAUCAUAAUACCUUUGCUCUGUUAUUAUUGACUAAGUGACAGUACACGAAAUGUACCAGGAUGCUUGUGUAGACUGUAGCGCUGCUUUUAAAUAAAGAGGUGGAAUUGACUGAUUCUUAUAUAUAAUGACUUAUGUGUUGUAGUUGAAUCCCCAACCCCAAGUACAAGUUGAGUCUACAGUCCUCAAAAAUUCAAGUCACUGAGGAAGAAUCAAAGCUGGUUCAAAGUAAGGACCCCCAUACCCAUGUUGCCUGAGAUGAUGAGGCAUCAGACAUCCUGGUUGCUAGUCAAGAUAGCAUGUGAACACUCAUUGGGUAAACACAAGUGACAGCCCUUGCUAAGAAACUAUUGGGGUUUUCAUGUUAAAAAAAAAGCCUAUCAGUGAACAAGUAUGCCCCUCUCCUUCCAAGUCCAAAUGCAACAAGUGCUUAAGUCUGAGUCCAAGUUGAGUCACAAGCCCCUGGAAUCAGGGCUAGAGUUAGACUCAGGGCUGAGUCCUGGACUUGGGUACUUCAGCACUGAUUGGUCUUUGGUCUAUGUCCAAAACAACCUUCAAAUCUUGAGUUUUUGGUAGGUUACAAUGUUAUUUUUCAACACAAUAUUUCCUGAGUACUGAAUUGAAUAUAUACAGAAAUUUUGUAGGACUGAGAUUGAUGUUAUGCUGGCUUUACUCUAAAUUAAACUUUGACAAAUUUCCAUAGCUGAGAUGAAAUCAUGAGUUUUGCUAAAGUAGGGGGGAACUUAAUCUGAACUGUCUAGAACCAGAGUUUUUCAUGGUUUUGGGUUAUGGUAAAAUUAAGUAAAUGUUGUUGCAGGUCCUCAGUCUUAUCUUAUGCAAACAUAGUCAACAAACCAACAAACAAUAGAUGGGCUUCAACCAGCACCAAACAGGAAGCUGCAAACUAGCAAAAUAAACUUGACAAGGAGGCAAAGGGACAUGGGAUUCUCUUUUAUUCAGGAAAAAGGAGGAGGAACUGCUUAAGUUCUGAAGAGAACAGAAUGCCUCUCUAGCAUGUGGACCGAUUUGGACCAUGAUAGAGUUGCUGCCUUUGACAUACUUGGUUCUUCAGCUCGCUAGCCAACUACUUGGUCUUGCAAUUGGUGACCCUGCGAGACACCCAAUCUUUAGAUUAUGACUUCAAGCUCUGUAACUUGCUGACACAUUGUCGUUAGAUGUGAGAGGCUGUCAGUACCAUAUGCCAACAUAAAACACAAACACACAAAGACAUACACACACACACAAAUAUAGCAAAAUACAAUUUAAUAUCCAACAUUCUGGUAUUGCUCAUGCCUGUUAUACAAAAGGUUUUUCCAAAAUGUUCAUCUAUUCUGAAAAGGUUAUCGUUGUGAAAAGUUGGGCCCAUAAUUCAUGACAAAAACAUGGUGAUGAAUAAUCAUUUGUGAAAACAGCUGCAAAGGGGCCUCAGGUGACAAACCCCUAAUGUUUAAUCACUUUGCAUAAUCCUCAGCGUACUUGGUUGUAAUUAAAUUUCGGCUUUUGAAAAGGUUGCGCAGGCUGAGUAAACACAAAGGAGUCAUGAUAAGCAAAAGCAGCUUUUCCAAAGUACAUUCAGAAGUUACUCAGGAGCAUAUCUGCACACAGUUACACAGGAUAUUGUUUGUAUGCAUACAUAUUUCCUAGAUACACUGCACUGCUCCACAGCCUCCAAAAGUCAUUAAUAUUAUUGAUAUAUGUUUACAUUUAACCGUCCUGUUGUUAAUGCAGUCCCUCAACGCUCUUCAGGAGACAAGUCAUUAUCCUGCCUGUGCACAGAGACCAGACAAAAUGAACCAAGGAUGCAAGCGAGACACCAAAUACAUAUAUCAUUAAAACGCACUCUCUCUAGCAAACACACACACACACACACACACACACACACACACACACACACACACACACACACACACACACACACACACACACACACACACACACACACACACACAGACAGACACAGUCACUAAAAAGUAAUGAUGCAUGACAGAAUAAUUUAGUUAGGUGAACGCGCUGUGGGUUUAGAGAAUGAAAAGCAACUGAAGGAAAAAAAAAACAAUGUGAAAUUCUUUAAUAUUAUCAUCCAAACACCAAAAUCACAUAAAUAAUGUACCUAAAUCCCCAUGUUGGCAGAUUAUCCUUCUCUGUGAAAAAUGUGUUUCUUAUCUUCCAGUAUGACCCCUUCCUCUCUCACACAGAGCAUAUUUCUAAUCUGCAGUCAGCGGCAUAUCAAUUCUGCAGACACACUGUUGCUCAGGUAAAAGAGGAGUAAAGAGGUUGUCAAUGAGAUGCCAAGACAGAGGAGCAUUAAAGGGCAACAGCCAAGAGCAGACAGGCAUUCAUUUUAAUCACAUGCUUCAGUCAGAAUGGGCUGGAUGCUGCGAGGAAGAAAAGCAGACUGGUAUGAAAAGGAUGCAUGAAUAUCGAAAAGUAACAGAAAGAUUGAUGGAAACAAUGUGAGGCUUAUGAAGCGUGAAGUGAGGAGAAGUGCUGGAAGAGGAGAGUGAGGAGAGAAGGAAGCAGAAGGCAGCAGUCAGACUAAAGGAGAGUGUUGAAAUCUGGUGUGUGUAUGUGUGCGUGCGUGUGUAUGCGCCUAAGUGUGUGUGCGUAGUUUAAGUAAUAAAUCACAGACCGCUGGUGAUUAGCAGCAGGCUUUAUUGUCGCUCAUUUAAGAGUGUUUUAUCAGAAAAGUGCAACUUUCCGGAUACUGUCAAAUAUUCAUGUCUGCAGUGUAUAUGAAUAUUAAAUAUCAUAAAUUACUGAUACGUGCCACAUUAUUCUCUUUGCGCUUUGUGACGUCUUCUAAAAGAAUUCCCUCACUGAUGUACUGCCACAGCUCUCCAGACUCAGCACCCGUCUCCCCCUCCGUGUCUCUGUUCAGCUUCACAAUUUUGCAUCCAAUUUGUCAUGUGCUGUCUCUCCGUCACCCGCGUCCUCUCUCAUGCUGCCGACAGCUGAAGCAGGCUCCUGUUGCAGUCAUGCAUAACAGCGUUAAGGUGGCUUUACUGGGAGUGUUCUCUUCCAAAGAUUAUGAAAAGGUCAACCAAAACCAUAAACAAUUGCAAAAUCGAUACAAAGAGGACCGUAGUGUGAGGCAGAUUGUUCUCAGAGGGUGAGAGAAGCAGUAGCAGACUGCAACUGAUCAGAUUUAUUACCAACCUUUUAACCCUCAGGCCCUUCUUUAAACUGCAAACUAGACUCCUAUUCGGAUGUGUGAAUCUGCUGGUUAUUUCCCACAAAAUAUGCGCUUAGUAAACAUACAAGUGUGCAUAUGCGUGUGUGUGUGUGUUGGCAUGACAGGUACUGAUAUUUUGCCUCAGCUGCCGACACUGCAGAGAAGAAACAGCCUUGAGCACUAAUUAGAGCAUCUAUGAUUACUGCCCAGUACCCUUCUCUGCCAUCACACACACAUACACAAACACACACACACACACACUUUGAAUCAUAGUCAGCUAUAUUUAGAUAAGGAAAAUCAGUGUUUCAGCCAAGACCAAUAUCAGUCUGGGUUGUGUAUGAUUAGCAUCUUGGACAAGCUUAGUAAAGAUUACGAAGUCAGAACUGGAAAACUGCAGUUUAAUCAAAGGGUGUCAGGUAAAAGUUGAAGAAUUUCUGAUAAACUUCUCCUUCCUGUCGUCAGACAGAACAGCUUACACAACCCUUUGGUGUCUCAAGGUCGAGUCUAAUUAGAUCCAACAGGUGGCCAAUGUACCCGACGAUAUGUCUAUAUCUGAAGGCUAAGAAUUAAGAGUGAGCUUUUCAUCAACUUCGUCUGUAUGCAGAUGAUCUAUUGAUUUGUUUUCAUCAAGAACAAUCAAGCUACGCUGCAAGAUUUUUAAAUGUUUUGUGUUUUACUCCCAUAUUGCUUGCUAUGUGAAAGUGGUCAUCCAUCCAUCAGUCCAUCCAUCCACAUUUCUAGGAUGGGGUCAUAUUGUACCUUCUCAUCUUCUACCUCCAUAAGGCUUCUCAAACUCUAAAACAUGAUUGUAGGCCUCCUCCAAGUCCACAUUGUUCCUCGGGUAAUUAUUACAGAGUCUCCUUUCUGCAACCUUGGAAUAAAGCUUCUCUAAGAAGUUGGGAAGUAUUAUUCCAUAAUAAUUGGUGCAGAUGCCCUCUGGCCUGCCUUUUAAAUAUUGGGACUACCACACCGUCCUUCCACUUUACAAGCACUGCCCCACACUGAUAUGGAAAAUGAAGAGCCCUGUCAGAACAGUAGAGGUAGAUUACAAUAUUCAGAGCCUUCAGCAUCUCAGGGGAAAUUGAGUUCACACCUUGUGCUUUCCCAAUGAGGAGGUUCUAGUCAACCUCAGCAAAGAGUUCAUAAAUUCUCAUGAAUCUUUAAAACCUGCCUCAUUAUCAGAGGGCUUAUUAGUUAGGUUCCUCCUGUUGCACCCAAAAUUAUGAUGAUUUGCUGGGAUUUUCUUGAGCUGAACCAAAAAAUCCUCUCCCAUUGAUUCCUGGCCCUUCCCAAAACAUCUUGUUUUGGCUUUAACAACCACCGAAGCCACAGCCCCUUUAGGCCACCGAGUGCCUAUCUUCUGCUUCCAGUUUGCCCCGAGCCUACAAGGGGGAUAGACUUCGCAAAAUUAAACCAACUUAAUCAGUGCUGUUGUUGCCUUUAAGGGUUUUUUUUUUUGUUUUCAAUUUUAUCCAGUGCUUCCCUAUCUGCAAAACACUGUUUGCUGGUCCCUUUCAUAAAUGAAACUUAACCUGCCAAGUAUGUGCUGAAAACAAACUUCUAAUUUAACAACCAACAAAGUGAUAAAGGGAAUCUACUCUGCAGAAUGUCCGUGACAUUUAAAAAUGAAAAAUAUUAAUCAACUCCCUCUUCUAACGUGACAGAAAAUUUCAAUCAUCCUCACAGUGUUUUUGGUGGAGCGUUUACUUAAUUGUUGUAAGAGAAAACUAUAAUAUGCAAAAGAGUCCAGCUGCACAAGGCAGGGAUUAGAAAAAAAAUAUUUGUAUGCACGAAACCGUGUGGCCAUUUGAUUAAUUUAGUUUUGGUAGAACAGAUUCUUGUCAUGAAAUUGCAGCUUGUAGAUUUUCUAUAUAAGCUCAUUCAUAGUCAUGCACAAAGAGCUGUGGGCUGUGAACAUUGAUGGCAAAACCUAAUAGCCCCUGUCUAGACGAAUGCAGGAUAUCCAUUUUUUAUUGACAAAUGAAAUAGAAAUAUGUAUGUAACAUGUUGAUAUGAGUUACUAUGUUCCUUAAAUUAAAAGCCGCAGAUUCACAUGAAUUGCAAUACUGGCAGAAAUGGAUGCAACAUGAAUACAAGAGUGUUGUGAAGAUAAAAUAUGCCCUCAUGAACUUCCAUUUUACUUAAUGAGAUCUGCAAAUACUAGCAAAUGUUUGCAGGAUGGGUGUUAAUCACAGACCAGCUCUCUCAGAGAGAAAUUAUGCAUGGAUUAUAUGUUUAUUGUGAUGGAUUCUAGUCCAGUCUUCAUGGUUAUGAACUGAUGAGUACAUCAUAUGGCUGAGCAGCAGUGUUUGGCGCCAACCUGUCUGGCACUAUCAUCCUAUCAUCCUCUGUCAUACUAACACUCGCCAGUCAUUGCAGAUGGCCUGUUCAACUCAGUUCGCAUUCUCAUAUUCAUUCAUAGGCGCAUGCUUUUCAAAUAGUCAUUAGCUUGUGAAAUUAUUUCCGUGUUGCUGUCAUGCUUAUAAUUAAUUUCAUGGAUGUCAUUGUGCUCAGCAGCUUGCCUGUUUUUCCUUGGCUGUUUGACUGCUGCAGCCUUAUAACACAGCCACAGUUCCUUAAGUGCAUCAAAUGCUGAAUGUGCUGUAAAAGAAGGCCUGAAGCCUAUGGUCAUUUUUCUGUUUUCAUUAUUCUAUUCAUCUCUUCAGUUUCUUUAAUUCUUUGGCUUCACUUGUUUGGGUCUUCAUCACUAAAACACGAGUAUUAAAUCACUAUCAUUUCAGACUCAUACUGUUAAUUUGGUUUAUUUUGAAGACCAUGCACCAUCUGCAAGCAGGUUAAAGGGCAUAUCAUGUCACCAAACAUAAUACUUGACAUUUUUAAGAAGCUAUAGAGCUCUUCAGUGAGGAUUGUGGCAGAAGAGGCAGACAUAUUGCAGUACAUAUUGUAAAAGCAUGAAGCAUUGUGAAUGACAGAUCAGGUGCAACUACAGUGAAGUUUGAUUGAAAGACACAUUCAGAAACCUGUGAAAGCACAGAUCUCUUUUAUUCCAGCUUGGAUAGAGGAUGAAACAGAGAUAAAAGGCAGGGUCAGACAUGCAGCACACUUAUUCAAAGUGACCAUCAAAACAUUGUGGUGAGAAGGGUUACAAAACAUUACACAGAGCACCUGGAGGGCAAAAAACUGGAAAUCCUUCUCCUGCUGUACCUGGCUCAAUAAAAACAGUGAUUCACCCAUUGAUAAAAUAAAAAUGAGAUUAAACUGUUUGAUCGAAAUAAACUAAAUUAAAUCAGUAUAACAAGCAAAGGUCACUGUGGUAUUUGCCUGAAAACGUGUGUCCAAAAUUUGACUGGUGCUGUGUUUUGUUUAAGAGUCAUAAAGAACACUGUAAAAUGGGAAAGUACACAGUAACACUUCAGAUUAAGCGAAGGAAAUCAGGUUGCUUUUUGACAAACUAAAAAAAAAAAAAAACAGGAGCUUCAAUAGUUACUGAAUUUGCCACAAAAACCCUAAUUUGCUUCUUUCCCAUCUUUUUUUGACAGUCAUGAAGACUUUGGCGGGAUUUAGCGGGAUCUCUCACUGUGAAAUGUAACCAUGACUGACAUCACCUUUUGGUAAGUGAAUCAACUCUUUAAAGUUUAGUUGUUUUUUUCCACCAGAUUAGUAUUUGUAACCAAAGUGACCUAAUUUAAAUGAAAGGGUAUAUAUCCAGUCAAUCAAUCAGUCUUUAUUUAUAUAGCAGUUUUCACAUACAACCAUGUAGGACAAAGUUCUUUACACAGAAAAAGGAAAAAAAAAGAAAAAAAGAAUACCCAAAUCUACCCCAGCCCAACCCCUCAUUCCUACCCCACGAUCUAAAUGCAACAGAAACAGUAUUAAAAUGCAUUAACUUAAAAAGGGCUUGAUUUUGUGGAAACAGGAGUAUGCACACUGAGGAAACGUCAUUUUAAAACUCAAGAUAAGGAAACACUGAACGUUUAGGUUAAAAUCAAGUAGUAUAGAAUGAAGUUGAAGAAACAAUAAAUAAAAUGAAAUAAAAACAACAGAAAAAGAUGCUAAAAUAAGAGCACAAAAAUUGCUCAAUAAAAGACGAACCUGUCAUCAAAACUAGAAAGAGAUAAAUGCUAAAACACUUCAACAAAGUUAAUAAUAUAAAAUUUAGUUAAAAGGAAGACUAAAAAGGUACAUUUUCAGUUUGCUUUUAAAAUCAUUAAGGUUAGGUGCAGUCCUCAGGUCUUCAGGUGAGCUGUUCCAUAGACGGGGGCCAUAGUCAUAAAAAGAUGCCUCAUAUAUGUGAUGCGAUUAGCAAUGUCUUCAUAACUUCUGACAGUUUGCUUGACUAUGUAAACAGUGUAUAGUUAGACACUUAAUUGCUGCUCUUUUGGAGGAGCUGUGUGUCAAAGGCUUGUUAGCUAGCCACCCAUGUCUGGGUGACGAGGUGGUGCUGUGUGAUGCCAGUGUAAGGGCAGCUGGUCCAGCUGGUCCAAAAACGGAAAGACCAGAUUGCCAUAUUUCUGUUCAGUCUGAACAAUCUGCAAAGGUGACAAAGUCUCAGUCCUUUAACGGAUACAGCCUGUGAAUUGGGACACAGCUAUAAAUUCAUGUUGGAGGUAAACUUUUUUCAUUAUCAUUUAAUGACAUCUUUUUAAGGGGGGAUUGUUGUAGAUCUCAUGGCAAUCCUUCACUAGUUUAUUCUUUUAAAAUGUACCAAGUAUGGUAAAGGCAUACUGCAACCCAAACUGGAGUGUGUUAGUGAAAGCUGCGCCAGAUCUUUAACAUCCAGUCUGCUGCAGAGUGAUGGAACAGAUAUUUAUGAGGCUGGUGUUUUAUUUUCAGCUGAGUUUAACCUUUUUCUUUCUCAGAGGCUGAUAAUAUCACUGUCCGAGGGCCCUUUUUCAGCAGCCUCAGUAAGAAAAUUUCUUAUGUCAGCUGUUUUAUCAUAUUUUCUCUUCCCUAGCUUACAAACUAAAAGUGAUCUCUGACCUUGCGUGCCCAGCAUUGACCCACACAGAACUAAAUCAUUAAAUGUUUUUUAUUCAAACAUUGGCUGAGACGCAAUUGAUUAAAAAAUAACUGUUUUGAUUUUAACUUUAAACGAAAAUAAUAACAAAACGAUCCUAAAGCCUAGUACUGGUUUGAGGGUGGCGGGUGGGUAUUGUGGACUCCUGGGCUAAAGCGUGAGUGUGGAGCGGGCCCUCCGCAGCACUUACCGCGACACUUGUUUAGGGGCUGCCUUCUGUUGCCAUCAUGUAGCAUUGCUGUCUACAGCCAUUUCUUGAUCUCUUCGACCACUUAACGAAAAUUGUGAUACGCCUCGCCGGUAGCGGAUUUAAAGGUGAGGAGAGGAGCUGAUGUGAUUGGUGAAAACAGGACUCGGCUGUGUUAAACCCACUCCAUGCCUUCUCUCCUCCCUCUGUACGACUUACGCCGCUGGGAGGAGCUGAGUUAGGGAGGGGGGAUACUUACGCCGAGCAAAAUACCAAAAUAUGCUUGGGCACACCUUGUUUGCGCAGCAGACCUGACUUAUGCUGCGCCUGAGCCACGUUGCCAGCAUGAAAAUAGAGCCCCUUUUGCAACCAGAAAGGUCGCCCCCUGCUGUCUACUUCUGUAAACAGUCUGUGAGUGUAACUCUGCAUACACUGUUUGUGAGGAAUAGAAAAGAGGCAGCUGAGUUUAGCUGCUUUGACAUGAAUACAGUUGUAUAACAAGAGAAAACCACUUAUGAAGUCGUGCAUUUAUAUUGUAUGCUGGGGAUUUCUUCAACAUGUAACAUGGAGCAUCCCUUGUUGUUUCAGUGUAGCACUACUCAAGCACAAGGAUAUCUCUUCAUUGUCUAUUUGCAUGGACACUGGAAAUAUGACUUGUCUGGAUAACACUUUGGCAAAUUACAGCUUCUGUUAAGUUUAUUCACAAACUACAUUAAAACUUCAAGUUGAAGUGUAGUUUGUUCCACAAAACAGCAUCUCCAACACUGAUCCUCCAAGCCAUUAUUAAAAAGUCAUGCUUCUGGUUUAGCUUGUCUGUAAACAGCUUUAACACCAGCUUUCGUACUUUUCUCUAGUUUGGAGGGUCCCCUGGGUACAAACCAAGAUGUGAGCGAAUGUUGAACAAGAUGAUAGGAUACUACUUAAAUUCAAAAUUAAGACCGUUGUGUAAGAGAGAAGGGGGGAGAAUGAAAAACAGUGUAACUAGUGGAGAUCAGUCUGCUGUUUUUGGCACCACUAUAUCAGAACAGUGUGCGCCCAGGGCCUCCUUCAGCAAUCAGAGUCUAGAUGGAUGACUGGUCUGGGAAAGUGUUGGGGCUUUACUGAAGUGAUGGAAGUUGGAGUCAUGGAGUGCUUGUCUCACACUCAAUGACACACACUGCUGCACUUAGGAUGUCAUGUCAAACUCCUUAGGUCCUCAGAGAAAACUGCAGUGUUUCCGUGACUGUUGGGCAUUCAUUUUGCGAAGCACAUGGUGGAUGGCAGCUUGUUGCACUGGCACAGUGUAAUCUUGGUUCGAUGACACAUGUAUUUUUGACAGUUUGACAGCAUUCAAGUGCCACUGUCACACCGACUGAAAAACUUGACAGUUCUUGGUGUUGAUAAUACUGUGUCUGGAAAAGAGUAGUUCAAGCAGGUCCUAAAACUUCCCACAAACCUUGUUUUUAAAUCAAUAAAUGUCAACAGUGGAGCCAUCUUUAUGAACCAUGUUGUAAUGGCAAUGUUAAAGGCCAGGGGGCUUCAAAUGGAAGGCCCGAUCAUCCAAGUAUCAUGAACCUCUGAAUAUCUGUUUUGUUGUUUAAAGCUUCUGUUGUUUAAAGAAUUUUUGAGUGGAUAUAAAACAGACUGAAAUGAUCAGUGGUGAGUCCCUACUAGGGUUGCAGAGGGGCGGAAAAUUUCUGGACAAUUUCCAGAAACUUUCCAUGGGAAGUUAAGCUGGGGCGUUUUGGAAAUAUUCCAAAUUGGACACUUUCCAUGGAAAUUAUAGAAAUUAUGAGAAUUUAUGAGAAUUAUUUGGAAUUUAUGGAAAUUAACUAGAAAUUGGGGGUAAUUUAUACAAACAUCAAUGUAAAUAUUUUUGUUUUGUCAUAAGAAGACAUCCAUGCAAAAUAAUGCAAUUAAAAAAAACAUUUCAACUGAUUUAUUUGAGUGGCGAUGGCGAACGUGGCAUUUUUCUGUAGAAUAAAAUAACAAAAAAGCUUGUAAAAACACUAAUGCAAUGGUAUGAACAGAAAUGUAGUUAGCUAAACAACUGGAAUAGUCUUCAAAGUAUUUCACAUUUGAUGUAUUGUAUGGUGACAGAAAACCGUCUUGCAGGAGUCAGAAGAAACAACAUCACAUUUGAGGCAGUUACCACCACCAUAAUAAGCUAGCUGCUUAAAUAGUCAAUAGCUUACAUUUAGCACCUAUUUUUAUUAAAUUUUUGCAAGUUAAAUAUUAAUACAUUAUUGAUCAAAUAUAUAAUAUAAGUUCCCUGAUGUGGGCCAACCUUCAAUUUUGUAAAUUUCAGAUUUAUUCCCAUUAAUUCCCAUGGAAAGUUUCCUACUUUGAAAAUUCCCAGGAUUUUGCAACCCUAGUCCCUACGAUGUGCAAAGCAACUAAGAUCAUUCAUAGCAGGCCUGACAAUUACUAUACUGUAACUUCUAUUGUCUGUAACUGCUGUGAGAAGAAACAGCCUUACUUUACAGCCUUACAGCAAAUAUUCACUGUGAGUGAUAAAGUUCACAGCAAAAAGACGACAGGACAAGAGUUUUUGUCAUUUGGCAACACUUUUACAGAGAUGACACAAAAUCAGUUACAAGACUUAUGAGUUUGUCAAUAGGGGGUGCCAAAGUUAACGCAGAAAGUUUCUCACUAAAGCUUUAAUCAAUAAUGAAAGGGGAGGACAAAUUUAAUACAGAAUGACACCCUACGCUUUACUUUGUUUUGUUUAUGAGUUGGAACGUGGCAGUCAGUCAGUUUGCAGGUUUAGCCACCCCAGUUCAAAAAUUCUGUACACCUCUUUUGCUAAAGAUGCCAGCACCCUGUAGUCCUUUAAGACUUACUGUAUGUGAGCCAUGCUGUUCUUGUUGCAAAGCUGUCACUGCAGCAUACAUUUGACACAAAUUGUAACAAAAAAUUUCCUUUUGUAGAUAACUGUUCUCUAAGAGUGGGGUAACUCGGUAAACUGGCGUGUUAUCCCAUCUCCAUCUAGACUAAUUUCAUCUCAGAUGCCGUAUACAAGCUUACAGUGUUUGUUCUCAUCCAGCACACGGAUAUCAGUUUCCUCCUCUCAGCAGCUCUCAUAGCAGGAUCAUUCCCUUUAACGUGCUUUUGGUGAAGAAAUUCAGGCAAUUUGCAGCCGGUGAUGCAAAGCUCUCACAUACCAGAUAAGUGCAUUUCUACUGAUCUGAUCUCUGCCAUGAGAGACUCAUUUCCUUUGUAGUGUUUCACUCCAUAAGCCCAUGUAAUGCACCUUAUUCUUCAGAAACCACUGGUCCUCUUAUGAACCAAAUAGAUUUUUGCACUUUUCUAUGUUUCAUUAAAUAUUUAUAGCAUUAAAUUGAUGCUAAUUAGGUGUCUUGACAAACAGCAGUUUACUUUGUUCCCCUUUCUUUCUAUUUACUGGUUUUAUUUUACUUAUGGACUUUUGAUAACUUCAUUUGGAGGAUUGAGCAGUUUUGGUUUCUACAGUUUUAGAGCUGCAAAUGUGGAAAUACAUAACAUGACAAAAAAAAGUUUUCCAAAAUAUACAUGACACAAGAUUUUUUGACUUGUGCCCUGUGAAAAAACUUUUUGAUCUGUCUUUAAAAGUACUCAGGAUACUUGAGUAUUCCUAAAAACAAGUACUGCAGUACUCAAGCAAUAAUUUGAUUGUGCAGCUUUUACUCAUAUUCGAGUAAUAUUACAGCAGGAGUAUCUAUACUUAGACUCAAGUUAUGAAGUUGUGUAUUUAGCCCAACACUCCACAUUACUUGUAACACUGAUGAAAAUGUGGUUUUACCAGUUAAUCAAUUAAAAUGUUUUCAUCAGCAAAAAGCUUAAAUUAGUCAAUGCCUGACUUAAAAUGCAGCCUGAUCAAUCCAAAUGAGUUUCAGUGGUUAAUUUUCUGACACCUAAAAAAGCAUUUCCUUCAUGACUUUAACACAACAGCUGCUGUUCUUGUUUGUUGGUUCACUGAAGCUCAUCCAGCUAGCUUAAUAGAAAAUAAAAGAAAACUCAAUUACUCAAAGCUACAGAUAAAAAUGUCAAUAAUGUUGAGAAUUUUUCCUCCUUUUUCUCGAGUGGGGGUAUACGGUUAGGUUGUGCUAAAUUUAAAUCUAUAGUGGAUUUGAUUAUUUAUUUUAUUGUGAAAUAGAGACAAGAGGCCUUUAUUGUCAAUGGGAAAUUGUAGGGAUCUAAUUUUAGCUGUGAGGUCUGGAGCGGUGAGUCACAGGAUUGCGUUUGAACAGAUAAAAGAGCCAUCUGUGAGCUUCUGUCACAGAUAUUCAGUCAGGUUUUUUUGCACAUCUUUGUUUUUUGUUUUUUUAGGCUAGCAAACGGCUGUUGAUCUGUCCAUGAAGGUGACAGUCUGUUCACUUGUUGAUUAUAGAUCUGUUUUUGGAUACAUGUUCAGCACAGAAGCAGCAUUCAACACUUGAAGCCAAUUCUGAUUUAGCUUCAAAGAACAUGAACAUUUUUAUAUGUUAAUUUUGUAAAUGGCUUUACAUCCACGCCUUGUUUGCAAGCCUAUUUUAGGGCUUUUGAAUGUCUGUAUGGAUCCUCUCCAGUGUAUGUUUCUCCUGCCUGUUUUACAUAUAUUCUGUUUUUAACAUGUUGUGACUCUUUGAAGAUUCACAUGCAGAUUCAGGGACAACUUACAAAAGCUCCCAUCGCUCUCGGCUUUCCCGCUUUUGUUGACCAUAUUCUCUUCAUGUUGUCAUAGCGCCUCAGUCCACUGUUUGCCCUUCUUCUAUUGCACAAAAACUCUGGUGACGCAGAUAUAAUGAGCAUCCUCAUUUAAUGUGCUCCUAUAUGUUGUGCACCCUGUGGGGAAAAAAAGACUAAUAACCACUUGAGAGAAACCUCAGCUCAAGGAGUGUGUGUGUGGUGUGCUCGUGUGUGUGUGUGGUGUGCUCGUGUGUGGGCAGAAGACUCGGAGUAGACUUAAUGGAUAUUGCAGUAGAUAAUGGUGAUUUAGAGAGGCAGAGGGCUGUAUAGAUUGUGAACAAAGCUCAUUUACUAUCCAUGAUCCUUUUUAUGGCACACUCCCUUUAUGACACUGCAUCUCCACAAAGCCAUAAGUCAUCAUACAACUGACAUGCGUGGUCACAUAUAGAGAGCCAAGACCUGGUCGAUAACACAGUAUCAGAUGAAAUCUAAUAUAAUGAGUACUGGCAUCACUGUCCCCUUCAUUAGAGAGGAGCAGACAAUUACAGAGAGGUUACACAAAUGAGACAGCUUAAAGAUAAGACACCAGCCAUGAUUUGCUAUCACAAGCACUUGCUAGAAUGGAGACAAAGUAUUAUUACCCAAGGAUGAAGAACAUGUCCCAGCAUUUGGAAUCAACUAUACUAUUGUUUUCACACAGUUUUUUUUUAUUAUCACCACUCUUUGUUAACAAGGACUUUAUUGGUCAAAACCCAAUAACCAAAGUUUCACUAGUGAGUAAUUCUCCACAACAAAUGAGACUUUUGAUCAAGAAAAGUCACAGCCAACCAAUCUGCAAACAGAAGUCCAGCAUAUUUCACCUCUGUCUGUUGACGCUGUGGCAAAACCAAUACCAUUUGUCAAUAUUCUCAACUGGUAUGCUAAACAACAGAAAGGAUGAGGUUGAAAUCCAUUCCUGUCCUGCAGCUAAAGCAACAGCAGCAGAGCUUGAAGAUAGUUAUGAAGUAAAUUAAGCCACAAGUGACAAUAAUAGCAACAUUAUUAAAAGUCAUUGUAUCUGCCUCAUUUAUCUUUAUAGGUGAGCUAAUGACGUGACUCUGAAAAGAAACGGGAGCUGGAUGAGGACAGAAAUCUCAACCUAAAUACUCACGUUCACCUUGUUCAGCAGCAUUUAUUUUACAAAUGAUAGAGUUCUAUUCUGUUCUAUUCUACUUAACCCGUUAGUUUUGUCGGUCAAAACUGGAAAAUUAUCACCUGUGGUAUACCCGAGGACUUGAUUCUUGUCCCCCUCCAAUUCCCACUACACCAGAGAAUAAUAUAAUUUAUAAUAUGCUGAAUAUUUUUCACAGUCAUGCUGAUGACACACAGCUAUGUAUGCCCUCAAGAUAUAAAAAUCUCAAACAACACAGAAAAUUUCAUUCUUGAGCCCAACUUUUUAUUGCAACUGGAGCUCAUAUCAGCAGGUACAGACAGUUGCAAUCCUGCUUUCGUAAAGCUUAAAAAAAGAAAGGAAUAAGAAUAUAAAAGUUUUUGAAGAGCCGGUCAAUUUAUUAGUUUACUGAUCUAGACAAAACAUUUAUGCUUUGAUUUGAUUUGUUUGGUCUACCCCAUGUCUGCAUGUCUGCCCCAAAAAUCAAUAAAAAAUCUCCAGCUUAUCAAAAAUAUUGUAACAAGACAGUUUCAGGGUUUUGCUUUAUCUAUUUGGUUUGAUUAGAUUUGCUGCUUUAUCUGUGAAGUUAGUAAAUAAAUUUUGGACUCGCCGAGUUGCAGUGACUUUUAUCAUCGUACAGCUCUUGCCUCUAAAGAGAGAAUAUAACCCCUGUCCUGGCACAGCUGCUCAAGCUAUCUGUUGGAAUCAGAAUUGAUUUUAAGAUUUUACUGAUUACUUUGAAAGCACAAAAAGGUCCCUGGUUAUAGCUCCAAGGUUCGCUAUCUCGCUAUCUCAUCUCUGAGAGAUAGUGGCUCCAGAGUGCUGAGAAUAACAAUGACUGAAACCAACACAGGUUUGAGGCUAUAAAUUCUGGCAUUUAUUAAUGAAAAACCAAAAUGUCAGCCGCUCCAAUGCACACACUCUCAAACACACACACACUUCUUAAUUUCCCUUUUUCCUUAUCUCAACAAAAUGCAUAAGAAAUCUACGGUCAGGUCCUUUUUUCCAGCUGUCUGUGUGAAAGAGAAAAGGGGAUAUGAAAAGAACAAUAACCCUCAAUGAUUGCUUCUUUGAUUUUCUUUCCACUAGAAAUUAUUACAUCCAUCAUCUGCCCUCAUGCUGCUACAAAAUACCAGAGCUAAAAAGGCUGCAGUGCAGCGCUGCUGACAUUACAUUUUCUCAAAUUAUUCCCUCAGAUUUAGAUGGCUGUGUUUUGAAUGUAGUUUCCAUCUCUUAGUGUCCUCACUCUGCCUACAAAGAAGGUAUUCGGGGGAUGUGUGCUUCAGGUCAUGAUCAAAAACACUUCCAUUCUGCUGAUUCUAUCUAUCUAUCUAUCUAUCUAUCUAUCUAUCUAUCUAUCUAUCUAUCUAUCUAUCUAUCUAUCUAUCUAUCUAUCUAUCUAUCUAUCUAUCUAUCUAUCUAUCUAUCUAUCUAUCUAUCUAUCUAUCUAUCUAUCUAUCUAUCUAUCUAUCUAUCUAUCUAUCUAUCUAUCUAUCUAUCUAUCUAUCUAUCUAUCUAUCUAUCCAUCUACCUAUCUGACUCUUUCCCAUGGACUUAAAAAAUAGCAAUAAAUAACCAAACUAAGUUUCAAGCAGCAUAACCAGGUAAAUUUUCCCCUCUGUGGUAACGCAGAACAACAGAAAGGAACAUCUUGGGCUGUUCAAUCAUGGAACUCAUCUGCAAUCAUCUCCUAUUAUUGUCUGAUAACACUCUGUGUUUUGUGCCUCUGGGAGGGGAUACCAACUUUCCAGUAAUUCCGCUACAGCUGCCAGCAGCGUGUAUUCAACCAUCUCCAGAUAAGAUAUCCUUUCUUUGCGGUGUAAGUGACGUGACUAGCAUUUUAUCUUGGCCCAUUACAUCUCAUGGAGUAGCACUCAUUCAUCUGUAUUCAUUAAAUGAGUCCCAGCUCAACAGUAGACGGUAACACGGGGGCUUCUCCAGCAGAGCCAAGGAAAAGCCCAUUUUGUUCUGAUUAAGUUACAAUGAUUAGGUCUUAAAAUGUAGACCAUGUUAAUGUAUGUCCCAAAGAGAAAGAUCAAGCUUUUAAAAUGCUUGUCUAUUGAUUGGAGGUCUGAUUGAUCAUUUCUGACACACUCCAGGUUGUCAAGAGCUGAUCUAACUGAUUUUGUUUUGCAACAAAGCAUCAAGCACCUUAAUGACAACAAUGAAAUGUUUGAUCUGGAAUAUAUUGUCACUUGCAUUUUCCUAAAGACACCUGGUUGGACAGAUAAAUAAAUCAUUAUAAGAAUACCACUGAUGAGACUCAGGAUGGCAUUACUAUGAUGAGCGAUCUGCUUGCUUUUGCUCCCCAUUCUGGCUGUUUUUUCCUGCAUACACCAAAGCCUGAUGACCCAUGAUUGGUCAAUACUAAGUGGACUAAUGUCCAACAAACAAAAAAGAGAACACGUCUAGACCCUGAGUAAAUUGAGUGUCAAAGCUGUCCCCCAUUACUGGUUUCAAUCUAUCUCAACCCCCACAACUGGAUUAUUUGGACUACUUACCUGGUUUUAAACCUGCUGCUUUUUCAGCAGUAUCUCCUGCUUGCACAUUGCUGUCCUUGCACAAACCAAGAGUGUGUAAGUGUUACCUCUAUGUCACGCUCUCCUACUCCUUAGCUCUGUUCGCUCAGUCUGAACCCAUCUGCAGUACAGAGACUCUGCAGGCUGAAACCUACAAAUUGAGCUGGACAGUGUCAAUACUUGCCUCUUUGUCUCUUCUUGCCAAUAUUAAAGUGAAGGGCAUGACUGGUUAUCCUUGAUUUUAUGUGUGCUGCGUUCAGAUUUUUCACCUAAAGCACUUCACAAAUAAACAUGAUAUACACUUUACUUUGUAGUGCUAAUAAAAUGCCUCUGAACCCUUUCUCUUUUAUUGAUUUUAUUUCCCCUCUCUGAUAUGCAACAACUGAUGUCAUUUGCUGAGUUCUCCAUAUUGGGUUAUCUACAUUAAUUCACUUUUCCACAGAGCAAUAAUUUGUUCCGCCUUGUUUUGAAGUCAACCCUGUAAUAUGAUGCCAUUUUUGGGGUGCCUGGCAUCAGCUCUGAAAUGUCACCGGCUGCAUAUUUAUAAGCUCAGGACAUUUCAAAAACGGGGCUCUCUCCUGAGUAAAACAACAAAUAACAUCAGUUUUCCUGUGAGCUCAGAUGAAGUUUAAUAAAAAGACUUUAUUAAAGGUCAUCUCACUGCCAAAAAAAGAAAAAAAAAACAGAGGGGCUUAUAUCAUCAGCACAGGUUUUUUUUUUUUUUUUGGAGUAGCCAGUUAUUGAGAAAAGUAUCAGUACUAGUAAAAUAUUUGCAUUAGAUUUUAAUAUACAGUCUUAAUUACACUUGACGGGCCACAUAUCAUCUUGGUCUUUGAAAAGGCUUAAAUAUACUCUAUCGAGCAUUUACUUCUCAGGCAGUCUGCAGUAGUGUUGUGUCAUUCGUGAACGAUUCGUUCAAAAGAACUGAAUCUUUUAAGUGAAUGUACUGGACCAAAUUUCUUUAGUGAUUCGUUCGUUUCUCACAUCAGUUGAGCUGAAGAGAGAAAUGAACAAACGACAAAACUACCUUUUUUUUUCACUGCUAAAUUGCCACCACAACAACUUGCAUACAAUAGGACACAGCAUGUAACAAGUAGUUCAUUAAACUUGCAGCAUCCUAUCAUUGCAGUGGUUUGUGAGGGAACAGUGCAUGUUCAGUGUGAAUUCUUCUAAAUGUUAAGUGAACGAAUCACUCACUGACCCCAAUUUACCGAGCAGACUUGAUAAAUAGCAUACCGUAGAACAAAGCAACACAGCCAAACACUCUUGUCUCCCGGUCCCAGAAGCUAUGAAUUGAUCUGAAUCCUGAACUGCUCAGCUCUGUAUCAGUUCAGGAGGUUGGAGUCGCAGACUUCUCCCACCAAGCACUAAAUGAUUCAGUGAUUUGGUGAACGAAUCUUUUGAAUGAAUCUUUUUAGUGAAUUGAUUCUAGUGAUUUAGUACAUCUAAAAGAACUGCUGUGCCCAUCACUAGUCUGCAGACCUCUUCUAACUCAAGUCCAACAAAAUCUUUUGCAAGUUCCUUCUUCAACAGUUUACUUCACUUUUAGAACUAAAAGAUUCAGAAUCCCCAGAGGAUGUCCACAAAUGACUUUGGUAAUGCCUUUACAUUAGUACAGCCAGCAUAUUUCCAAAGCAUCACCACUAUCAUGUGCAGCAGAAACAUAGCAGUAUGUUUUGACAGGCAAAUUAAUUGACAGCAUCAUUCCUCUCUUUUUUUUUUUGCUCCAUCCAAAAGGUUAACUUGCCAGGUUCUGAAUUUUUAAUACUUGUGUCUGCUGCUGCUGCUGCUGGAUACCAACAUCAAGCACAGCAUCAGAGCACAGCAAAGUUAUCACUGUGAAUGCAGUCUGAGUGUCACCUGCUUGCAAAUUUGCAAACAACACUGCUGCUGUCACAGAUAGUGUCAAGCUGCUGGAGACAGGUGUACUUAUCCUGCGACUUUGAAUCAGCUGCAAAAGGAUUUGGGUUCGCGGGAGCUGUUCUUUAAAUGUUUUUAAAAACAGAUUGAAGACACUGGAGGAAGGCAAACAAUCAAAAUUUGACACAAAGGUGACCUAAUUUGACUUUGAGAGCUUUUGCAGCUAGCCUGAAGGACCUGCAGUUUUUAGCACCUCUGCAUCAGCUUUAUUUCUCAUCAGGAUGCCACCUGGUUUUCCAUAAUCAUGCAGCACAACCUGAUGUUUUGGCUUGCACAUCUGACAGGUUCAAUUAUAUCCUUUGUGUCUAGGACCAAAUCCAUGCAACACAAAGAAGAAUCCAAACAGCCCCAGCUGUGCCUCUAUUACACAAAAAAGCCUCCUAACACACUCGACAAAGACAGUUUAUAACUGUAAUUCAGUUAUGAACAACUCAGUGUUGCGCAUGUUGCUGAAAAUUAAUUAUUGGUUACAAUUACUUGUUACUAUCAAGGAGUGGCUGAAUUACUAGGUUGCUCAAUUAAGUCAGUAAUCAGUAACUCACUUCCUCUAGCUUCAGUACUCUUAGUGUACCCUGCCUCAUGUCUCACCAUUGUUUUGGUAGACAUGGUAGCUGUUGACAUGUUAGCAAACAUGGUAGCUUCAAGAACAGUGUCUUAUAGUUUUGUGGAGGGCUCAUCACAUCAAGCGCGAAGCGAUUUUGCGACUUUCCGGGGGGAAAAAAAGACGUGUCCCGGGUGGAAGCGAGAAGACUGACACAACAGCAGACUGACAGUUUUUCAGUUCUGAUUAGACACUAGUGUUGAGAUGUCUGUCUGUCAUGAUAGCAUGUACUGAGUCGGGGCCAGUACCAGAUAAGCACAUUAAACUAUGAUCCAUAAACGUAAGGUAACAACUGAGACCUAACAGCGCUGUGACAGCAACGGGAUUGAGUUUGAGACAGUGAAAAUACAUAUGGUAUGUUGUACCUGAACAGGUUAGCUUACAAGCUAAAGUUACUUAGCAUAGAUGAAAGUUAAAACAAAGACGUCAUAUGAAAAAUUCGGCGCUAUGACUCUCCACAAGUUGUCCUUCAGGUCGUUAUCUUUGUAAUAUUUGUGUUUUUUUAAUCAAAAAGCACUCUGUUUUCCGACCCGAAAACAAUCAGCCGGUCGGCCAUGUUGGAUAUACCGUUGAAUCUGACGUCGCGACAACACGAAAUCUGAUUGGUCAGUAGUGGACACAGAGCAUGCGAAACUUUAGAAAAAUCGACCGUGAUCUGAAAAAAUAAACGCCUCAAUAUCGCAGGACAUGCUGAUGUGAGCGCUUGUAUUGACAGGAUACCGUUAAGAAAAAAAAAUAUUGACGUCCGAAAUAAUCGCACGAAAACAAUGUUCCUUAAGUCAGCUUUACAGAGUCACAAGCAUGUUUGUAAAUUAUUUACUCUGCAUCAUGAAAGACAAACAGGUUAUUUAUUGUCAGUAAAUGCUCACGGACAGGAACAAAAAUCAAUGUAAAAUCAAAUAAAUCUUGAUUUAACAUUGAGGUGAAGUGAGUGUAUCUUUAAAAAUCUUACCCAGGGGUGACUUUAUGAUUAUGUUGGGUCAUUUUCAUGUCCGCUGAGAGUAAACCAAUUAAAUCUAGAUACAGCUCAACACAUGUGUUGACACAGUACAGUACAGUCUGUACUGUUAGAGUGGCUCAGCUGUCGGCAUCAUCUUGAAGAGAUUUUGCUCCCCGGUGCAUAUCUAAAAUUACGGCUGCUAUCUAAAGCAAUUAUAGCUGUAGGGGAGGGUGUUAAAGUGUUAAAGCUUGGAGAAAUGCUCAACUUGGACUGGAACCUAUCUCAUGAAUAUAAAUCUUCUUAUUAGACGGCCGUUUGAAUGCAGGGUCAAAGGUGUAUCCUGUGCUGUAUCUAUUUAUGAAAAAUGAUGACAUAGCAGCAUGAUUUCAGUGCAAGUGGAGGGUUAUUUUUCAGCUGUCUCGUCACUAUAACCCACUUUAACACACGCAAAUGCUCACAGAAAUCCAAGACGUUAAUGAUCUCUUGUAAAAUUUAAUAGCGACAUUGAUUUCCUGCUGUUUCAAACAAUAGGCCUCAGUGGUGUUGAGUUAAAAGACUUUGUGGCCGGAUGGGGAGCAAAUCUAAUUCAAAGCCUCUUUCCCCAUAAGCUUUUUAUUCUUCAGACCAAGGAGAGAGGUUUCCCAAGUGGUUUUGCUCAAGUUGCACACAACCAGUCAUCUGUUAUGCCAUAAUGAUGUAACAAAACACAGGAGGGAGGAUCAAGUGUGUCCAGCAAAAUGCUUUUGUCCCCAUUUAGUCUUUUUCCGAAUCCAUACGCUUGAUCAUACCUGUUUAAAAAUCUUCCUACACUGCACUUUUAUCUCUUCAUCUCUCGCUUCAUCCUCUUAGUUUUUCAUUUUACAGAUAUACCCAACAUUAUUGGAUGUCUUUGAUGCAUGAAAGGACUUGACUUAACUUUGAAUAUAAAAAAGAAAUCUGCCUUCUCUUCUCGAGGACGAUCUUUCACUCUCCUGGGAUCUCUUUGUUCCUUUAUAGUCAGAGGCCCAAUGAGCCCUGCUUUAAUGGCUCCUAUAGAUAUGCACAGCAGUAUCAGCAGCAUAUUUUCGCUACAGAUGUUAUCUCAAGCUGGCUAGUUUCACAAUGGUAGGUACUAAAAGCGCCACUAGGAAUCCCUGUUUUUUUGUGUUAAUCAACAAAUUUCAAUGCCACGAUUAAGUUGUGUUUUGGCUUUACUUUUGGCUUUAAUUUCCCUUCCCAAUACAGUUUGUGUAAAAUUGUACCUUUUAUUUCAAUGCUCUGGCCAGAGAAAGACAUUAUCCCAUUUGAGCUGAAUAUUAAGAUAACAAAUACAGCACUAAGUGUGUUUUGAAGUACACAGCAAACUGUUUGGAAAAUUGUGGACAAUAUUUUUAAAGCUUCAUUGGGGAAGUCUUAAACAGGUGAUGAAACAGUUUGAUACUGAGUUUAAAUCUGUUUUCUGAGCCCCAACAGAGAUCAUUAAUGGUGAGGUUAACAAUAUCUCUGUUUUCAUUCACUGCAGAGGGGUGGUGCCAUCAACAUCAUGUCAAAAAGAGUAUUUUAUUUUAGAUUAUCCAUGCCAAGAUUUGUUGUAAAUUCAAAAUGACAUAUUUUGAGUGAAUUUUUUUUUUGUUUGUUCUCUUUUUUUAUACAUAGAUACAGGACAAGUUCUCCUAAGGCAUGCAUUAUUCUGAACCCUUAUUCUGUCCUCAGGAGGGAAACAAAAUUGAACCAGCCUCUUUCCGCUCUAAAGUCAAUGUGAAAAUGAGCACAAAAGCUUGAUUAUAAAGAUAUUAUUGUAUGCAGGCCCUUUAAAAAUGUCUGGACAUCCUUGGGUCUCAGGUGGCCCAGCGGUUUAAGCCCCAUGUAUUGAGGCUACAUCUUAAUUACAGCGGUGGCUGAUUUUACUCCUGGACAUGCAUAACGUUUCCUCCUUUUUAUCUCCUACUCUCUACUUUCCACAGUAUCAGUCUCUUGUCUGCCGAAUUAUUUUGCCAUGUUCAUGCAACAAAUCUGUGACUCGAAUUUUUUUUAACAAAAUGUAUCUUGGUUGAUGUAAAGACAACAAUUUUCAGGGGAAUUAAGAUGCAAAAUCAUAUACAAGGACUCAGUAUAAAAGCCAAAGGUGCAUUUUUGCUUUGACAGUUAUUGAUAUCUUACCAAUGUGGGAAACAGCAAAAACUGCCAGAAGGAAACAAUGCAGCUUCAACAACAUCCUCUGUUGAGGGUCUGUGUGUGAUAAAUUAGAGGUAUCUAGUAUUGAUUGAGUGUUAGUAGAAGAAAAAUAAAGAAACAAAUGCAGGCAUUUUGAUGGAUGACAAUUUACUCCCCUGGACAUUUGUGUGAAUUUAUGGCAGUUUGAACAUUUAAAGAAGAGGAAGGGGAGGGAAGCAGCAUAGAAGACCUAUUAAAUCCCUAACACAGGCUCCGGUUGAACCAGAAAGGUCAGGGUCCUGUGGUGCCACCAUUGUAUUCUCCAUCAGCUGACUUAUUGAUUGACUGAAUCCCCAUUUAUCACUCUUUUAGGCUGGUAAAUGAUUCUUUGAUGCUUUUUCUCACCUAUUUUUUAAAAAACCAUUAUAUUGGCAUCCCACCUCCCAUCGUUGCGCACAAGAUGAAUGACCACACCCAUGUAUUCUCAGCUGUGAUUUACCACCAACAAUCUAACCAAACCAUGUUUUUAUACACUGCAUUGACCAUGAUUCAUUGCAAAGGUUGACACACCAUAGAGUCACAGUUUGUAUGUGCCAAUGCACACUAAAUUUAAAGCCACUCGGGUCUGUGGCCUUGGCAGUUAGAUAAAACUACCGCACUCAAGAGCCAGCUAAUGUUGCUUUGCUAUUAGCUUCACUGACAGAGGGUAGUACUGGAGACAAAUGAGCAGCCAAGCUCUCUAAGUGUAACAUCAAUAAAGAGACAUUAAUAACCCUCUCAUACUAUCAGUGCCACGGGAGUGCACUGAUGACCUUUGAAUGAAAUAUGUUUUAAUAAUCAUAGAUACAUGCAGGGCCAAAGAGAUGUCAGGAAAAAGUGGGCUAAUGAUUGAAUAUAGUGUCUAUAAGGUUCUUUUUUUUAAACUUAAAUUUUAUUAGCAUUUUUUAAACAUAAAAAAAACAAGAUAUACGGGCAAUCAGAGAAAGAUAUGAAUAAAAACAAACAAACACAAAACAUAAUGGUGUCAUUCACAGAGAAGAAAAGAAAAUUGUCCAUGUAGCCUUCAUCAAAGUUGUCCAUUUUUUUAAAGUAAUGUGAAUAGAUUUAUAUUUGUUCCAUUUAGUUAUUUAGUUCCAUCUGUAAAGUUCUGAUGUACAUUUCAAAUAUCACAGUUAAGACAUUUGAGUGUGUCAGUUUUGUUUCUGCACCUCUGAGCUGAAGAAGUGUCAUCUUCACUCUUUUAGCUAGAGUCAUUGUCGUGUUACCACAGACGAUGCAUGAUGCAUACCACAUGCCCUGAGAUUCUGCAGCAUAUAAAAUCUCUCCAUUAUCCUAAACCAGGAUUUACAUAAUUACACACAGCAGCAGAAAUCCCGCUUUUGUAUACAUAACCCUCUACAGAGUGGCAUUCUUCAUUCAUAGACAAAAUAUUCAUAGAUUUUGCAGGAGCAGUAGGAAGCAAAAACAUCAUUGUAGGGGUUUCACUCUCAUUCAGGCAGGGAACCCUCACAAUGACACAGACUGCAGCAUAAUGUGAUCGGCAGGUAUCCUCUGAUCCAGAAAAGUCCUGAAACACUUGUUACCAAGUCCUGCUCAUGACUCCAUCAGCCCUGGACAUGGGAUCUCAGUUUGAACACCCGCACCAGCAGCAGUUUGAGGAUAUUUCCUUCUUUCCAUUUAUCACAGGAGUUUCGCCUCUCUUUUUGUCACUCUUUAAAGAUGGACACUGCAUUUGUUGUUGUUGUUGUUUUUAUAUCAUUUUUCAACAAUAACUUAAAAGAUCUGAGCAAGUUUUUUAUGAACCCACGCUCCCCAAAUGUGAUAUCAAAGUAAAAGGUGAUCUAAAUGUUAAAUGGAAACUGUGGUUCCUUGAAAACAAUACAACAGGAUCAUUUGGCAUAGGAGUUUUAAAAAGUUGGAAGUGAAAGAGUAAAGAAAAAGAUUGUCUUUUUGGUAGAAAAAAAAGGGAUUGUCUUUGUUCAAUUGCACUGAUGCUUUUUUUCUUGGCGCUGUCUUAGAUUUUUACUGCCUUUAUUCUCUGUGUUGUUAUAUUCAGUCCUUAAAAUGAAAUGCCCCCAAACUCAAUAGCCUAAAAAGAGUAAACACCCUCCCUCUCUGUCUUGUGUUUUUGGCAUAAAUCUGACUAUGUUCUCUCAUUUCCCUAAAAAGAGUUUUGGAGGAUUUCACAUCUGCAGCAGCUCACCUCUUUAAUUUUCCUGGUCAAUUUAAUUAGAAGAUAACAAACUACUUCAUUUCACUUAACUCUCCCACAGCCGGUUGCUUCUAUCUAUAUCUCUAUUUUACAACUGACUAUUACUUCUAAAUUAUGUCCUUCCUUCAAUUAAGUCACAUAUUCACUCUCACUGCAACAAUCUGAAUUUCUUUAAUGCCCAUUACCCUUAUAUUCCUAUCUAAAACAUACUUUAGCUAUGUGGUUAACCUCAUAAUGUGUCUCACUAAAUCUGUUGUGGUCCAUUAAACCAGAGUUUCACAGGUUCAGUGAGCACCGAGGGCACUCUGACACCUUCCAACCACUGAGGUGACAAGAGCAGAAACACAUGCCAAAUGUGUGAGAUAAGGCGAAAGGGUGCAAGUGGAGAGAGAUGGAAAUGGAUGAACAGAUUGCGCUGUAAAAAGAAAAAAAAAUACAAAAACUGUUAUUUUAUCAUCAACCUGCUCACUCUCACUCCACUUGUUUUCUUUUUAUUGUUUCUGUGACUAAAAUCUACAGUUCGGUUUUUAUUUCAGAGACCAGACUGUUGAGACAGUUUAUUAAAAUAAAAAAGAAAAAAAGAAAAACUGGGGUUGUACGCCACAGAACAGUGUGUGUAUAUGUACUUAAAUGCUAUGACAUUUUCCAUCCAAGCCCCCCGAGGCUUAAGAGCUCUCUCUCCCUCUUAAAGCUAAGGAAAUAAAAGCCUCGUAGACAUUUAGUCUGACCUCCCUCAGCUGCUUCUUUUCACAGUUACUUUCAUUUGUCCCCUCUUCACCCACUCCCCUCAUUUCUUGAAGGCAGGUCCAUUAACCUGACGUUAAUAACAGUAGGGAGUGACACAACUGCAUAUUACAGUUCGGCCUCUGUUAUGUCAUAAAUACCCAUUUUCCCAUGGCUGUCAUAUUUAAUGGACGCUAUGGUCAUCAUAAACAUAUAUAAUUUUUUACUGCUCCAUAAUGAUACUGUAUCAUAAUUAUUAUUAUUAUUAGAAUUAUUUGUUUAAUAUAGAUACAGCGUUGUUCUCUGCUGUCACUUCUCAGUUUGUGUCUGCAGGUAUAAUUGAAAAUGCUGAAGUACUGCCCAAGGCUGAUAACCAAAGUCAAGCCUCAGUACCCCUCAAGCAGAACACACGCCACAAGACAAUGGGGCUGAUUGGGAGUCCAAUUCCCCAGUCUGUAAAGAAAAUCAACAAAGUCUAGACUUUCUGAUGAUUAUCAAGUUCCUCUUGCCAGAUUUAUUUGUGGUGGGGUGUAUCUUAAGAGUGGGUUCACCACACCCAGUCUGCUGGGAAGAUGAUUGUGGCUGCGCUGAUUUGAAAUUGUUAAUAUCAAACGUUCGAUGUUCACGAUCAGAAAACCUCUCGAGUCAGGGGAAUGUUGAAGACAGCCGAGCACACACCAUGUAGAUUGUCACAUGAAAAGAAAUAAUCAAGUGAAGGGGGAAGGAAGGAAGCUGGCUGAAGAAGGAAUCACAUCAAAUGCAGCCAUGAUAACAAUAGUGAGUGAGAAUCGUAAACAUCAGAAAUGGAGGACCAACUCCACAUUUCCAAUAUUCAUAAUAAGAUUUUAAAAUACUCUUCGUGUGGACCAGCUAUCCUGUUGGGUUUCAUUUCAUAUUGUGAGGUUAUAGUUCUGCUGGAGAAAAUGAAAAACUUGUGCUGAUGAUUAUAUGGUAAUCACUUAUUCCUGUAAAUGUAACAGGGUCAAAUAUGUGCCAGCGUCUUUCAUAGUUUCGAUUUUACUGUUACACAAAACAUGCAAUUGUCAUUGUAUAACAAGGAGAACCAGAACUUCAUAAUUUGGUGAUGUGUGUUCCAGGGAAGACCUUGCAUGUUUCUGCAAGACAAUGCCUAAAGAAGAGACAUCAUUUUAUAAAGCAUCUACGCUUUUUGGAAUAGGGGUUGUGGAUGUUAUAGACAACAUGAUAGUACUUGUAUACUGUAGAUCACAGUGUUCUUAAACAGAAAAAUCAUAAAAGCUUUCAUGUUAUGCAGAUGAUGCUCUUCUGUAUAUGUCUGGCAAAUUGGGCAAGUGUCAGUUGAUUCUUUCAUAAUUAUCUCCAUAGCCCACUAACAAAAAUCAACGGGUUUUCUUGUAUUUAAGUAAUGAUUUCACAGGGACAGUGCUAGGUUUCUUGUGAUACUGCUUAUAGUUGCUAGAAAUGAAGGGUCUCUUAAGUUAUCUAUUUAAAUCCACAGCUUUAACACAGAUACCACCUAGUAAAAUGUGCAAAAAGCAGUUCUGCAACUGGGCUCGUGUCUGUGGGUUUUCUCUGUAAUAUAAAAUAUGAAAAGCAGAUAACUUACUGUCAAUGAAAUGGCAGAGUCAACAUUAAAUUUAGAUUUAGUAUUUGAAUUGAGAUUACAGAUUUAGAUGUAGGUAUAUAUUUAGGCUUCAGGAAUCUAGAUUGCACUUUGUGAGCAAUUGGCUGUUGUGUUGUACCUUAACCCACAUUAAUAAAAACAUCGUAAAACUUAAACUACCAGUCAGGGGAAAAGAGGAGUUAGAAACCCAGUUGUGUGUUUAUUCAGUGGUACUGAAACUCUCACUGAUUCAGCAGAGAUUCACGCUGUUUCAAAGGAUGAGUUGUGAUGGAAAAGAGUACGGCCAGCAGUGCUUGAUAAUAUUCUCAGCCGGUACUUUACACCACUCAACCUUGACUCAGGAGGGGAUGUCUCCAUGACUGUGACAAGGAAAGAGAAAGUUUUUGAUAUUGAACCUCUUAUUUGAAAUUUUCCAAAUAACCUGAUGGUGCAGAGGGAAGGCAAUAUUGUUAAAUGUUUUCAUGCUGUCUUUAUGCUCCAUUGGCUUGUGAAAAUGAGCUACAGAAGACCGGAUAGGUUUUCUUUUUAAAAUGAAGGCUUCCUGAGUUCCCGCUCUAUGUAUGGCUGAACCUACUCUUUCCAUUGUCUAUUUCCAAAUAUUAGUAGUAUUUCCACAUAAAAUUGGCUCAAGGGAUGGAAAGCAGGGAUGACCGGAUGACCCCCCUUAACUCGAGUACUGAGCAUACUUCUGUAUUGUACCUGUAACUUUUUAUCUUCAGUUAAUUGGUCAUAGUAUAUUCUUUCCCGAUAUGUUGUAAAGUCAGUAUGCAGAAUAGCAAGGAAAUCAAGUUACAAAAUACACAUAGUGGAGGGAAAAAAACGUCAUUGACCUCUGAAUUUCGGUUAAGAAGAACUGUAAAGCAGUAUGAACAGAAGAAAUGACCGAGCUUGUUGUUACCUUCCAUUACUUAAUUGCUAUUACUAAUCUCAUGACAUUUUAAAAGCAGUUAUCACUACAAAGGUGGGAAUAUUAUUGAAGUGGCAGACGGCUGGCAUUAAUAACAAAAGACAUGUACAAUGAUUGACGCAAAGUGGUGAGUUACAUAUGCUGUCAGACCCACAGUGUAGAUCUGUCAAUCUAAGGCUCCUUCUUUCUAUGCUGACAUUUAGUUAGCUGUAGUCCACAGUAGUCUCUGGUGAAUAAUUCAAUAAAGUAGGAAAGAUUCUUACAACUCUAAAUUGGCUGGGAAUACUAGUCCAUUAGAAAAAUCCCACCAUGUCCACCUUUUAUAGACCCUUGAGACAAUUUUAUCUUAUUAAUAUUGUUAGGGAAAGUAAUCAUUUGGAUUGCCUCAUCAUAUUAAAUAACAAAACAGGCCCCCAUUCGACCCACCCUCAUGUCAGUUGGUGAAACAAUCAGUCAGUCAAACAUAUUAGCCUGACUGAACUUGCACAAAAUCGAACUUCUCAUAGUUGGACUAACAUACAUGCUUGAAUAGACAUAAAGGAGGUGGACAUGCUUCUGUCAAUAAUUCGACUUUGACCCAGUGCUUGUAUACCCGACACAGACAGUAGUCCAGAUAAUUUGCCUAAAUGAAGCUAUGAUCAUAGCCCAACUUAACUGUGUAUGUAAACGUACUGAGUGCCCCCUGAAACCAAAGGUUCAUUUAGAUAUGUUAUUGGUAUUAUCGGAUAAAAAACAAACUACAAGGACUGAAACCAUAUGAUUUAGAAAUACUCCAAAGAUAUUUGCUCACUCAAAGCUGGCCCAAUGGGGCCCUAAGCAAAGUUUGAUUUUCGGUCCCUCUCUUUCUGCCAAUAAUAUCUCUUUAAUUAACAUUCCAUGACAUGAAAACAUACCUUUGUCAUGGCAUUUUUUCUCUUCUUCCUCUUUCUUUUUUCUGCUCCCGAAGGAUAUGUCCUUUUUUGCGAUAUUGUUUUUGCUCUUUGGAUGCUCAGUGCACAUUGCACAGCAUGAGGCAUAUAACAGUAGCAGAGCUUUGACAUAUCGGCAGUAAGAAUCAUAGGCCUACAUCAGCAGCAGCACUAAUGAUAUUAUAUAUAAUAUAAAUAUAUUUGAUCAUACAGAAAGCAUCACAUAUACACUUCACUUUUGGAGAAAUAUCUCGUCAUCCAUUUCAUAUGCACGAACUCAAAGUGGAUGGUUUUGAUAGAUUGUAUUAAGCAGGUCUGAUAUGUCAAAGGGACCAAACUAUGAACAGUGACCAUAUAUCAGAAAAAGGCUGCAAAUAUCUUCUGAAAAAAAUUGAUUUUUUGUUGAUUCAGGCAUAUUUCUCCCUGCCAGUGGCGGUGUGAUUUUGUUCCAUUACUGUUUAUCUUUACAAGUCAUUGCAGUCCAAAUGCAGCCUAAAAAUGCCCCCAACCAUGUUAACAUUAUCAUUCAUAUGUAGUCCUCUCUCUGGUAUCCUCUCCAUCCCUAUUGUGUGUACGUGCAUAUCUCAUUCUUAUGUCAGCCCCCCACACACAGUCCAUUACAGUAUUUCUCUUUCUUGCCCUCUGUCCAUUCCCACAAGGCUGCAUACAUAGCAGGCUGUCGAGAGGAUCUGCUUCGUAUGCAGCAUGGAUGUAGCAGGGGUUUCAUUCAUGUGAUUUCGUGGCUCGUGUGUUCGAUGAGGGUGUUCAGCACAGGGCUUGUUUUUCCUGCAUAUGGCCCAUUAAGAAAAACACACUAAUUGGAGACUUUUUUUUUUGUACAUGUGUGACCAACACUAAGUGUUUGAUUUAUUCUGCACACAUGGCAUGUAUGAUUUAUCGCUGUGGUGGGUGUUACAAAACUAGUUAAAUGUUGACUGAUAAUCAAAGAUGCAGGUUCAGUGGAGCAUUGGAGAAAACACAAUGUCUGUUUGAUUAAAUGACAAUAGCCUGCUGGGGAUGUGUUGUUGCACAAAAGCCUUCUCACAGAGCAGGCUGUUAUUUGUGAAUACAGAAACCACCGUCCUUUCCCUGUGGCUUUGCCUAAUAUCCUAUUAGUGAAGGACACAAUCAAUGUGGUUUGAGCUAAUAAUUGGAUUUCACUGGGUGUUUUUCACCUGCGGCAAGAAGGAGAAGAACUAAAACAUGAAACAUGACAAGCAUCAGUCUGCUCAAUUUACUAUUCUUUGCAGUAUGAUUGGAUCCCUGGUCUGAUAACCCAUGACUCUAAAACCCUGCAGAGGUUGGUAAGGGUAAUUACCAUGAGCCUCCCAAGGCAUUAAUAUAAGCAUGAGAGAUCUUUUAAGGCAGACAGCGUGGGUGUGUGUGCAGGUGUGUACACAUGAUCUAUAGAUCAUUAUCAGAUCCAUAAUCAACUUACUCUGAAGGCCCAGAACAACAAUGUGUAUCAUUGAAAGCAAAGGAAGCAAACACAACUGAUGGUGUCACUGUUGGUUUUGGUUACAGACUGUGUCAGCAAGUGUAGUUAAGAAUGAUGGAGGGGACAAGGAAGACCAAGAGUAAGACAUAAAGAGAAGACAAAUAACUUAGAAGACAAACACAGCAGAGGACACACAAAGCCAUAGAUGAUGGAAUUGCUAUAAAGUGUUGAGGCUGACCGAACAUGCCAAAAGCUAAAAAAGCAAGAAUACAGCCUGGUUCAAGAAAGGGUGUUGGUCUAAUAGCUCGGGCUCUUGCUGUUCAGGAAGAGACUUUUAAUCUACAAAAGCUCCAGGAGGUAUUGAUUUGAAGGAUAAAAAGAUGCUUAUUACUUUGAUGGAUACCGUCCGAGGCCAUGGUCCUCAGUCGGAAAAAGGUAGAUUGCCUUCUUCGAGUUGGAGGGGUUCAAGUAUCUCGGGAUCUUGUUUAUGAGUGAGGCUAGGAUGGAGCGGGAGAUCAGCAGGCGGAUCGGCGUCAGCAGGGAUGCGGACGCUUAAACGAUCUGUUGUGGUAAAGAAAGAACUGAGCUGUAAAGCGAGACUCUUGAUUUACCAGUCAAUCCACAGUACAGGCCAAAAGUUUGGACACACCUUCUCAUUCAAUGUCUUUUCUUUUUUUUUUUAUAUGACUAUUUACAUUGUAGAUUAUUACUGAAGGCAUUAAAACUAUGAAUGAACUCAUGUAGAAUUUUGUACUUAUAAAAAAAGUGUGAAAUAACCGAAAACAUGUUUUAUAUUCUAGUUUCUUUAAAAUAGCCACCCUUUGCUCUUGAUGACAGAAGUACCUUGUCAGGGUUACUUCAGGCACUCCUGAGAAGUAAAAACCAUUUCAGGUGACUACCUCAUGAAGCUCAUUGGGAGAACAGCAAAAGUUUGCAGCGCUAUCAAAAAAGCAAAGGGUGGCUACUUUGAGAAAUCUAAAAUACAAAACAUGUUUUCAGUUAUUUCACACUUUUUUCUUAAGCACAUGAUUCCACAUGUGUUCAUUCAUAGUUUUGAGAAUCUACAUUGAAUGAGAAGGUGUGUCCAAACUUUUGGCCUGUACUGUAUGUGCCGAUCCUCACCUAUGGUCAUGAACUUUGGGUAAUGACCGAAAGAACAAGAUCGCAGAUAUAAUGGGUUUCCUUCGCAGGGUAGCCAGGCUCACUCUCAGAGAUAGGGUAAGGAGCUAGGACACUCGGGAGGCGCUCAGAGUAGAACCGCUGCUCCUCCACGUCGAGAGGUUAGGAUGCCUUCUGGACGCCUCCCGUUAGAGGCGUUCCAGACAUGUCCCAACGGGAGGAGACCUCGUGGCCGGCCCAGGACCAGGUGGAGGGAUUAUAUCUCUCGCCUGGCCUGGGAGCGCCUGGGAAUCCCCCCGGAGGAGCUGGUGGAAGUGGCUGGGGUGAGGGCCGUCUGGGCUUCCCUCCUGAAGCUGCCGCCCCCGUAACCCGGACCCAGAUAAGCGGAAGAAAAUGACGACGACGAUGGAUACUGUUAUUAAUUAAUGGAAUAAAAUCAAAGUGAAAUUAAAAUAAAAUAAGUUGAAACAUUUCAUAUAUAUAACCUAUUUGACUUAUGGGUAGUUGAUCAAUGCACAGUAGAAAUGUGCUGGGUUGUCCAAACACAGUGUUUACCACAGAGAAAUUACACAGUGAGAUGCUGCAUGGAGAAAAACCCAAAACAGAAUAGCUCACUUCUCUUUGGGUGAUUGAUUUUAAAAGUCACCAGUUUUGACCAGUUAGUUUCGUUGUGAGUUUUGCACAAUCAGGGGCUUGGCUGACUAGAUGGACAGGUGGGGACAUCAUAGCUGUUAGCUUGGAUACCUAAAAGCCUGUCUCCAGGUUAAAUGUGAGUUAGGCUGAGUUGGCAUUUUCAGGGUGGGAACGUCGUCAUUAGGUUUCAAAACUUAAGAAACCAGUGGGGGACUUCACCGAAACUGUGUCCAUGUUUUAUAUAGUCUGUGGUUUGGACAUCUGAGAACACAACAAUCCCACUCUGAUGCAGAACAAAACAAGCAAGCCAAGAGCCUCAAGAGGAGGUGAUCAUGUCUUGCUUCCAACUGAACACUGGAAGAGGGAUCCUCGUCUAGGAGAAGACACACAAGACAAUGAUAACGAAUACAAAACACAGAUGAAGAUAAAUGAGAAGACACAAAGACGAAGGGGAAGACAUUGAAGACGACAAAGUAGAAGUGGAGACAGCAAUGAAUGACAAAGACACAGGAAGAAGAUAAAGACGACAUACAGAUGAUGAAUCAAAAAAUGAAGACAGAAAAGUCCAAACAAGAUAAAUGAGGAAAAAACAAGGAAGAUAUAAAAAGAGGACAUGACAAAACAGACAACAGAUGAGACAAAGACGAUGAUAAGGAACACAAGGGAGAGGAAGACAGAGAUGAGGAUGAAGAUGUGAUAACAUUUUCUGUCACAGACAUUUCUUCACUCUCCUUUCUGUCCCAGGUAUUUUUCUUCCUGUCUAAUUUCCAAAGGAUUACACAAGAUGGAAUCAGCCAUUGAGCUGACAGCCUUCCUACACAAAAUCACAGCCAGGGGAAUUCAGUCUUUGACACAGUGACAAUAAUUCUUCAGUGGGCUUACAAUUUGCAAGUAAAAGUAACAAGGACGAGGAAUUUAAUCUGGGGGUGAAAUUCAGAAGCUAGUGGGAAAACCAAAGCUUUGCUGUAACGGAGAACGAGUGGACACAAAAAACAAGCCGCUCAUGUCUUUCCUGUGGAGCUGUCUAAAAUGAUUAAUAUCUUACAGAGCUUGAUUGAGACUGACUGCAAGUAGAUUUAUUAACCCUUAGCUGACCUUCACCACACUCACUCUUCAAUUUAUUAAGGCAGUUCUUCCUUUGACUUUACUCUGGGGACAAAUUCAAGUGUCAGCAGUAUCAACACAUCGACAGGCUGUGUGCUUGUUGAACCUGUGCGUGAAGUUUAUUUAUUAGCACAUAUCACCACAGGGGAACAAUAUGCUCCGUUAUAAUUUCACUUAAAGACACAAGAUUUUUAUUGAAAUCUCAGCAUGACUUCAAUUUUAGAGCUUAUUUGUAUGACCAAGAUAUUUGAAACACAAAGCUUUUCCAAUCAAUAACUGAGUAUAAAGCUUUGGUUGAGGUUCAGAGGAUGGAGCGCAUGAAGGAAUAGCAGAAUGAUGUGUCAAACUGAAUUUUUUUUCUAUGUAUGAGCCCUCUGCUAUGUCGUCCAAUGUUGCAAUCUGCUUGAACAACCUGCUGACUGUACAUCAUUCUUUUUACCGGAUUUGUGCUGUUUUCAUCUGAGGUUGGAUUUCUCUAAAAAAUGACUCCUCCAGAACCCUUUUUUCAUUGACACCGAGUCAUUUUUUCCACUUUGAACAUAUCACAAAUAAAUAUUUCACAAUUUUCCAAUUACCUCCUACUCUGAAAAGUUUGAAAAAGUUGAAAACCUUAACAUCAGAGGAGCCAGAAUUCAAAGUCAUGUCUCUGUGCAUGAGCAACUAGGGCACUGUUUCUCGCUUCUUGAGCGGGGGCCUCCUUUCUCACAGCAGCAUGUUGCAGCAGGAGAUCUCCGCUGCAUUAAUUAUAUGGGAACAUUUUGACAGCAGCUGCAAGAACACCCUGUUUGCAAAAACAAACAAAUUGCAUCUCAAAGAGUGAAAAGUCACAGUAACCUUAGAUUUAUUAGUUUGUCAGAUUGCUCUUAUGUCCCCAAACCCACACAGACACACACAUGCCGACAAGGAGGGUUCAAAGCUUUUGUGGAUACAGAAAAAGAGUAUCUCAAAAGCAAACUAGAGCCUGAAUGAAUGUUUGUGUUAGGACUCAUUCAGUCGCGUAGAGAUCUGUGAAAGCACCUCCAGCAAGGGCAGCUUAACAUUGUGUAAACACGACUAAUUGGGUUUUUGUGUUAAAAUGUAAUCAUGAGCGGCUAAAGAACUUAGUCUCAGCAAAGAGGUUUAUUAACUUCAAAGCCUUUGUUGUUGCCCCUGAAAUGUGGCACUGGCUGCUGACACAAAAAGGAAGAAAAAACGUGAUUGAAACAUGUUUUCACUGCGCACAAGCAAGCAGCUGAAAAUUCAAGCGGAGCAAACAAAACAAAACAAAACAAAACAAAACACACAAGUCUUCUUACAGGCGAUUUUAGUCUUGUUGAAAAGGUUCAGACUCUGUGUCUUCAGCACUGCUCUGCUGAACCAGAGACUCUCAGAGCUACCAGCACCUCUCUCAGUGAAGCAGAGAUCCCUCUUAGUCUCCUGUAUGUCACUGUGAUGACGCUCCUUUUUAUUUCAUUCAGGGACUGUAGUUUCCAUGUACAAAUGUUCUAUCAAUAAAACACAAACUAUCUAAAUGAAUAUGAUGAUGAUUACCAUGAUAAAGACAAUGCCAUGCUUUUAUUUACAAGGUCAAUAUGAUAGUGAUGUUUUAUAGAGAUGACAAUGACACAACAAUGUUAAAGAUGAUGAUGGUGAUUAUGAUUAUUAUAAUGGUUAUAACAAUGACACAAUGAUUGUUUGGUAGAAGUAAUAAAGAUAUAACAGUUAUGAUAUUGACAGUGUCUAAUGAUGAUUAUCAUAAUGAUAGUACUAUAUACAACAGUGAUAAUGUAAUAGUGAUGCAAUGACUUAACAUAAGGAAUUAUGUUACCUUCCUCCUGUGUUAGUUUUUACUACGCACCCAGCAUGUAAAGGGUCGGUUUUUGACCUGUGUCUUAAAUCUGCUGUAAAUUACAUUAAAAACAAUUCUCUAUCAUCCAGUUUGGUUCUCAUCUCUAGGUUACCUUGUGAGGCUUCAUUAUCCAUGAAAAUAUUGUUUAUACCUUUUGUUGUGGUCCUCUGGGCCUUUCUUUGUCAGCAUACCCCUCAUACAGACAUCUAUAAUGGACUUAUCUCACAUGUCUGGACAUGCCCGACGUUGUUGUUUUUUGUGCAGGAAGAAAACAUGUCAAAAUGAGAAUUUCAUAAAUCUCACAUGAUCGGAAGAGGAUCUGACUGUGGUGCCUGAUUGUUCAUUUGUAAUUUCGGUUUUUGCCCUAAUUAUUAGAUAUUGCUCUAACCGAGUCAACAGCAACCCUAACACAACAAGUGCCAUAAUUUUAAUAAAAGCAUUUUAUAAUUUAGUCUAUUUAAUUUUUUUGUUUUUAUUUUGUUGGAAUAGAGGUUCCUGACAAAGUCAUAAAGUCUUAAUGCAAAAAGCUAAUUUAAGUGGUUCUUUUAAGCAUUUAAAUCAAAAAUGGGUCGGUGCAGACCCUAACACAGGAGGAGGGUUAAUGAUAACUAUUACAUCAUUUUCAUGACUUUUAUGAUGAUAAAGAAAAUCAUUAUACUGAUCCUGAUUAUUAUUGUAAAUGUCAUGACUAUGAUACAAGUUUAUUAUUGGUACAAAUGUUAUUGAAAAAAUGUAAACAAUCAUUUUAUUAAAUUAUGAAAAUUGAGUUAUAAAUUAAUAUUGAGAAUUGUGAAAAACUAUUUUUUACACCUUAUUUUAUAUAAAGAUAAGGAAUAUUUUUAGUUUUAAUGCAUAUCAAAAUGAAGGAAUAAAGUACUCGUAAGAUAAAUCACAUUUUUAUCUUUUUGUUCCUUAGGUUGUGACAGCUACCACGAUCAACCUCUUAGAAGUCUGAAACAAAGGGAAAAGAAAAAGCUUGAAUGGCGCUGCUGUUCCCUUGCAUCAAAAGGAGCCAACUGAGGUGCUUCAGCCAUCUGAUUGAGAUGCCUCGGGCACCUUGUCUUUAAGGGUCUCCUGGGCCUGUGCAGCUUCGAGGAGAUCUUUAUAAGGUAAACCCUGCCCUUUGCAGGAGGAAAUAUUAAGUUUAUCUCCUCUGACCUAAGAAGAAAAAAAUGGUAUUCUCCAAAGGGACUGGAAAAUAUUGCAGGAAAGAGGGGCUAAAGGUUUUAUUUCUUAACCUGUUGUUAUCACAACCUGACCCCAGGUAAGAAGAAGAAACUGGGUGGAUAAAUGAACAGGCAAAGAACAUGAUCUGUCUGCUCUUCUCAUCCCACUCUAUUCUAGUCCAGCCUAUUUCUGCAGACCUUGUGACCGACCUGCAGACAGACAGCCAAGACAAAUGAGGAAAACGCUCUCAGACAACUCAGGUUGCUAAAGCGGUCUGCUUUCGGGGGGUAAAUUGGUGCUUUGUUUGUUCUACAGGGUGUAGGAUUGGAGCAAAUCUGAUUCUAGUGACUGGGAGAUAAAAACAGAAUGAAAUCUUUUCCGAGGAUCUCAGUCGAUGAGCGGAAAGGAGGUGGGAAGGGGGUAAUCAGGCAAAUCAAUAGUUGCAGUUUCAGGAGAGACAAGUGGCAGAAAGCAUGUUUAUCAGACACCAAAGGGUAAACUGAUCCUGAAACGGCUCGUGGAAAAUCCAGGUAAAGAGAGAAAACAUCAUCACACAAAGUUUUAAACCUCAACUCCUGCUCUCCGUCUUUGAUGUGUGACACUUUGCCUUUUUUUUUUUCUUAAAUCUCUGUUUAGGUGUCUGGAUGGCUGCAGGAUAUGACUUGAAUACUUCCCAAAGCAGGUCUUUGGACUUCUUAUGCCCCUCUCCCUCCACUGGUGAGGGUC